CUCACCUCACUAGCUCCAUGUCCUUCCAAAGCGUGCCAGCCUCCCACAGCGCCCACACCUUAAUGACCCCUUGGUCACUCAGCCACCACACCGGACCCCCUAUUUCCCCAGCCCAUGUCUGCUCAGCACUCCCCAAUGUCCUAGCCUCUUGGAAACUCCCAGGAGCUUCCCAACACCCAGCCUCAAAUUAACCCCUAGCCACCCCCAGCGGUUCUCCGUUCCCUCCUCUGGCCAUCCCUCCUUAUCCUGCCCCUCACUGUACCCUGAAGGCCACCUCUACCCCCUUCUCCCAAGUGACCUAGGAACCCAGCAUCUGGGACUUGGCCUUUCCCCUGUCCAAGCUGUCGGGCAGGGCAGGGACCCUGACCUCAGCUCUCUGCUGUUCGUGCCCCAGAGGCUACGCCAAGCCUGUGUGCUCCCUCCUGCCUCAGGAGCAGGCCCCCAGCACCCAGCUGCCCGGCUGCCAUGCACAAACAUUACAAAGUCCACUUCGCCAAGGAUGCCCAGAGCCCCAACGGGCACUACUUCUGGGACCCAGAGUUGGGGCACCGAAAAGGAUGCUGUCAUCAGUGGCGCCAGGACUCAGCGGCCCUCCGAGCCCAUGGGCCCUGUCGACCUUCCCCCCAGU
rnacentral:lncRNA from 1 species